rnacentral:rRNA from 1 species
GACUCCUACGGGAGGCAGCAGUAGGGAAUUUUCGGCAAUGGACGGAAGUCUGACCGAGCAACGCCGCGUGAAUGAUGAAGUAUUUCGGUAUGUAAAGUUCUUUUAUUUGGGAAGAAAAAACAAAUUGACGGUACCAAAUGAAUAAGCCCCGGCUAACUACGUGCCAGCAGCCGCGGUAAUACGUAGGGGGCAAGCGUUAUCCGGAAUUAUUGGGCGUAAAGGGUGCGUAGGCGGGUUAUCAAGUCUUUGGUUAAAAUGCGGUGCUCAACGCCGUAGUGCCAAAGAAACUGAUAGUCUAGAGUAUGGUAGAAGUGAGUGGAACUCCAUGUGUAGCGGUAAAAUGCGUAAAUAUAUGGAAGAACACCAGUGGCGAAGGCGGCUCACUAGGCCAAUACUGACGCUGAGACACGAAAGCGUGGGGAGCAAACAGGAUUAGAUACCCUGGUAGUCCACGCCCUAAACGAUGAGUACUAAGUGUAGCCAGAAGGCUGUGCUGAAGUUAACGCAUUAAGUACUCCGCCUGAGUAGUACGUACGCAAGUAUGAAACUUAAAGGAAUUGACGGGAUCCCGCACAAGCGGUGGAGCAUGUUGUUUAAUUCGACGAUACGCGAAGAACCUUACCAGGUCUUGACAUACUCGGCAAAUCUAUAGAGAUAUAGAGGAGGUUAACCGGGAUACAGGUGGUGCAUGGUUGUCGUCAGCUCGUGUCGUGAGAUGUUAGGUUAAGUCCUGCAACGAGCGCAACCCUUAUUGCUAGUUACCAUCAUUAAGUUGGGGACUCUAGCGAGACUGCCGGUGAUAAACCGGAGGAAGGCGGGGAUGACGUCAAAUCAUCAUGCCCUUUAUGACCUGGGCUACAAACGUGCUACAAUGGCUGACACAAAGAGAAGCGAGCUCGCGAGAGUAAGCAAACCUCAGAAAAGCAGUCUCAGUUCGGAUUGAAGUCUGCAACUCGACUUCAUGAAGUUGGAAUCGCUAGUAAUCGCGAAGCAGAGUGUCGCGGUGAAUACGUUCCCGGGAUUUGUACACACCGCCCGUCAAACCAUGAGAGUUUGUAAUACCCGAAGCCGGUGGCCGAACCGCAAGGAAGGAGCCGUCUAAGGUAGGACAGAUGAUUGGGGUUAAGUCGUAACAAGGUAUCCCUACGAGAACGUGGGGAUG